CCUUGAUUUUUGAACUUAACCCUGUUUUUUUUGCAGGUGGGUAUUUCUACCUAAACAGAAAAUAAAUUCCUCUGGGAGAAGAAGGGAGGUCCGAUUGGAUAUAGCUCUUGAAAUGGCCUUCUUCCAAUGUGCUUUGGCUUGCUCAUCCUUUGUAGAAAUAAUCAAGAAAACACAUAACAGAAUCAGAAGACAACCAUGCUUUGCCAUGCUAUCUGAAGAAAUUACCACCAACUCUGCCCUGCUCCUCUCUGCCACCUUUUCACUGGAUAAUGCUGCUCAUUUAGAUCUGGUGUCCUUUUUACUGCAGGAGAGGGAUGGAAGCUUUCCCACACCUGAGUGAUCUGAGUCCUACAAGGAAAACCAUCCACAGAAGGUGGCUCUUCUCUGACUUAAUCCUCACUGACUGCCUGGGGCCACUCCAGGAGGCUGCUCAGAGCUCUCCGGUCAGGCCCCUGCUGCGAGAUGUUCCUGGAAGAAACCUUUCCCUUAGUUACAGAAGGAGGCUCAGGAAAUUAGAACCUCACAGCUAAACAUAGACUUCAUCAACAAUCUUCCUAAUUUCUUAGAGUUUUUUCCUGGUUACUCGUUGUGUCUUACUGUCAGUAUGUUCAAACACACUCACACAUCUCCCUGCACUUCCAGAGAUGCAGAUAUGUCUCACGAGCUGCAAUGUAUUGCACAUGUAGAAAAAUAAGCACUCUUUCCUUCAGAGACUUGUUGUAGACAAGCACCUAAUUCAGCAUAUUAUAUAAAGGGACACCACAACAGACUACAAACAUCCUUUCGAUUUCCAUCUGAACUGUUUCUAACACAGCACUUGUUUGCCUUCUAUUCCUUCCUAACAGACUCCAAUUGCAGAGCAGAUGGGAAUUGGAAGGUCUGUAACUUAAGUCCCAGUCACACCUUGCUCAGGAAAAGAAAUAAGUGUGCCACAGUUACUGAAUGACUUCUUAUUCCUGUAAUCCUUGAACUUUAAUGAACUAGAGAGAGGAGUGUGGAAAGAAAAGAGUCAGGAAAAUAAGGUCAUCUACCCAACUGAUCAUAUGCACUCUUUUGCUUUCUUCCAAUUUUUAUUUUGGUAUUUGAAGGAAAUGUUUCCAUCAGUACAAAAUGGGAAUAAGCUGUUUGAACAAUGACUAAUCAGAAAUGCAGUGUAAUGCAUCUGAAACACAAAUAAAGAAAUUUGAUUCUCCC
rnacentral:lncRNA from 1 species